UCUUCUUCCCCAACUAGAGCGCCUAGGAUGUAGGAUACUACGCCCUUCAGCCAAGGUGGUGUUGCUUAGCUCUGGGGAUGCAGACAAGAGCUCUUCAUCCUUAUCUAACUGAUUAUCAUUUCUAGGUGGUUCUUCAAAAUCAUCAGUCCCUGUUGCAGUCUCAUGCCAACCUGGCUUUCUUCCCAUUUCUAAGUCGCUCAUUGUUUUCUCCAAGUUCGGACUAACAAAACCACCAGCCACUUCACGAGCUGGUAUCCCAGCUUCUCUCUGCACUCUCUCCCUGAAUCUGUUCUUCGAAGGAGGAAUACUGGUGCAGAAUAUCUCUAAG
rnacentral:misc_RNA from 1 species